rnacentral:lncRNA from 1 species
AACUUUUCAUCCACAUUUUUAAUCUCUUUUACAAUUUAAAGACGUUUUUUACAACAUAACAACAGAGUUAGCGAUGGUUUUAGCAACGAUUUAUUAUUUAGUGACAAUUUUAACGAUAAUUUCGUAUUAGGGAUCAAAAGUGUGAUUUUUUUCCAAAAUAACCAACAUUUUCAAAUUAAAUACGAAAAUAACCAUUUUUUC